GAUGAACGCUGGCGGCGUGCCUAAUACAUGCAAGUCGAGCGAACAGACGAGGAGCUUGCUCCUCUGACGUUAGCGGCGGACGGGUGAGUAACACGUGGAUAACCUACCUAUAAGACUGGGAUAACUUCGGGAAACCGGAGCUAAUACCGGAUAAUAUAUUGAACCGCAUGGUUCAAUAGUGAAAGACGGUUUUGCUGUCACUUAUAGAUGGAUCCGCGCCGCAUUAGCUAGUUGGUAAGGUAACGGCUUACCAAGGCAACGAUGCGUAGCCGACCUGAGAGGGUGAUCGGCCACACUGGAACUGAGACACGGUCCAGCCUCCUACGGGAGGCAGCAGUAGGGAAUCUUCCGCAAUGGGCGAAAGCCUGACGGAGCAACGCCGCGUGAGUGAUGAAGGUCUUCGGCUCGUAAAACUCUGUUAUUAGGGAAGAACAAAUGUGUAAGUAACUAUGCACGUCUUGACGGUACCUAAUCAGAAAGCCACGGCUAACUACGU
rnacentral:rRNA from 1 species